AACGAACGCUGGCGGCAUGCCUAACACAUGCAAGUCGAACGAGACCUUCGGGUCUAGUGGCGCACGGGUGCGUAACACGUGGGAAUUUGCCUCGGGGUAUGGAAUAACUCAGGGAAACUUGAGCUAAUACCAUAUAAUGUCUUCGGACCAAAGAUUUAUCGCCCUGAGAUAAGCCCGCGUAGGAUUAGCUAGUUGGUGAGGUAAACGAGCUCACCAAGGCGACGAUCCUUAGCUGGUCUGAGAGGAUGAUCAGCCACACUGGGACUGAGACACGGCCCAGACUCCUACGGGAGGCAGCAGUGGGGAAUUUUGGACAAUGGGCGCAAGCCUGGAUCCAGCAA
rnacentral:rRNA from 1 species